CUGCGGAAGGAUCAUUGUCGAAUUCUGGCCCCAGAAAGACCGCGAACAAGUUAUCAAAAACCCGAGGCGCGGGCGGGCACGGUGAAACCUCGCCCGUCGGCUCCCGCACACAACCUAACUCUCGGCGCGGGAUGCGCCAAGGACUACUGAAACGGACUGCCGUGCGCCCGGCAGCCCACGCCGGUCGUGAGCGGCGUCUGGUCGUUCUAACCGAAACGACUCUCGGCAACGGAUAUCUAGGCUCUCGCAUCGAUGAAGAACGUAGCAAAAUGCAUACUUGGUGUGAAUUGCAGAAUCCCGUGAACCAUCGAGUUUUUGAACGCAAGUUGCCCCCGAAGCCAACAGGCCGAGGGCACGUCUACCUGGGCGUCACGCAUCGCGUCGCCACCCCCUCCCCCCACCCGCGCGUUUCGUUGCGAGCUCAAUCGUUUGCUGCCGAGACGACCCUCGACGGGAAUGAAACAACCCCGGAGCCCGUCACGGGCCUCAAACCGCGACCCCAGGUCAGGCGGGAUUAC
rnacentral:rRNA from 1 species